rnacentral:tRNA from 1 species
GGCAGCAUGGCUUAGUGGUUAGAGCAAGGCACUGGAACUGCCUUGCUUGGGGUCAAAAUCUCACUUCCACUA